GACGAACGCUGGCGGCGUGCUUAACACAUGCAAGUCGAACGGAAAGGCCCCCUUGUGGGGUACUCGAGUGGCGAACGGGUGAGUAACACGUGAGUAACCUACCCUUGACUUUGGGAUAACUUCAGGAAACUGGGGCUAAUACCGGAUAGGAGCUCCUGCUGCAUGGUGGGGGUUGGAAAGUUUCGGCGGUUGGGGAUGGACUCGCGGCUUAUCAGCUUGUUGGUGGGGUAGUGGCUCACCAAGGCUUUGACGGGUAGCCGGCCUGAGAGGGUGACCGGCCAACUUGGGAAUGAGAUACGGCCCAGAAUCCCACGGGGGGGAGCAGGGGGGAAUAUUGAACAAUGGGCGGAAGCCUGAUGCAGCAACGCCGGCGGCGGGGAGACGGCCUUCGGGUUUGAAACCCCUUUUGCCUUUGACGAAGGGGGGGGGGAGGUAAUGGGUAAAGAAGCACCGGCUAACUACGG
rnacentral:rRNA from 1 species